rnacentral:rRNA from 1 species
UGAAUACGUUCCCGGGCCUUGUACACACCGCCCGUCACACCAUGGGAGUGGGUUGCAAAAGAAGUCGGUAGCUUAACCGAAAGGGGGGCGCUGACCACUUUGUGGUUCAUGACUGGGGUGAAGUCGUAACAAGGUAACCGUAGGGGAACCUGCGGUUGGAUCACCUCCUUACCU